CUCAGUGAGCAGGUCAAAGAAAAAAAACUGCAGGUGCCGCUAUACAGAUACCUUUUAUUGAUUAAAACUCAGUGGCUAUGCUAAAUUUUUAAUUACAUGCAAUUACAAAAGUAUUCAGAUGCAGGUGCUGAUUUGAAAAUUUUAAAGUAUUUUUAAUGGGACAA